rnacentral:rRNA from 1 species
GAGUUUGAUCGUGGCUCAGAACGAACGCUGGCGGCGUGCCUAACACAUGCAAGUCGAGCGGGAAAAUGGGGGCAACUCCAUGAGUACAGCGGCGCACGGGUGAGUAACACGUAGGUAACCUACCUGCGAGACAGGGAUAACCUGCCGAAAGGCGGGCUAAUACCCGAUAAGACCACGGGGGCUGUGGCCCUUGGGGUAAAAGGUGGCCUCUCCUUGGAAGCUACCACUCGCGGAUGGGCCUGCGCGCCAUUAGCUAGUUGGCGGGGUAAUGGCCCACCAAGGCAAAGAUGGCUAGCUGGUCUGAGAGGAUGGCCAGCCACACUGGGACUGAGACACGGCCCAGACUCCUACGGGAGGCAGCAGUGGGGAAUAUUGCGCAAUGGGCGAAAGCCUGACGCAGCGACGCCGCGUGGGUGAUGAAGGCCUUCGGGUC